CACGUAGGGUGCGAGCGUUGUCCGGAAUUAUUGGGCGUAAAGAGCUCGUAGGCGGUGUGUCACGUCGUUCGUGAAAACCCGCGGCUUAACCGUGGGCUUGCAGCCGAUACGGGCGGGCUGGAGUUCGGUAGGGGAGACUGGAAUUCCUGGUGUAGCGGUGAAAUGCGCAGAUAUCAGGAGGAACACCGAUGGCGAAGGCAGGUCACUGGGCCGCAACUGACGCUGAGGAGCGAAAGCAUGGGGGAGCGAACAGG
rnacentral:rRNA from 1 species